rnacentral:lncRNA from 1 species
UAAGCUUUCGGCUAUCUUAUGGCACAUCUGUUUUUUCAGUCACACGAAUAAACUGAAAUGUUUGGGUAACAGUUUAUUUUUCAGAAUGAUUUGUGAACCUGAACUACAGAGUUCAAGUAUCAUUUUUAUCUUUCACAUUUUUCCUGUGCUUAGGUACCAAGCGAACAAAAAUCACUGGUUACUUCCGUCUUUGACCUUCAGGUGAAAGAACUGAAGACGUACAUAGACAUGUAACCUGGUGAGUGCUUAACUGGUUUGAAGACUCAUAGCUGCAUGGAAUCUCCUGGAUGUUAGCAUUCUGCCAUGCUUAAUGACCAAAGGUUCUGCUUACUUUCGAAAAGGCAUAGUAGAAGCCUAGCAGUCUGAAGCAGAUAAAAAAAUAAGAAUGAGCAAUAUGUUGAAAAGACAAUUAUAUAAACAAUGAACAUUAGUGCACAACAACAUAAUCCAGUCCCAAGAUCCGAUGAAUAGCUGCAUGCUUCAAAGACUCUGGGAAUGUCAGGCAACAAAAAAGUAUACUCCGGUCACCAUCCAGCAACCUUGAAUAUGGAUCUACACUGCAGUCAAGACAUCAUCAGUGUUGAGAAACUAGCAAAGCGUACGUCAUGGAAAGUUC